rnacentral:rRNA from 1 species
CACGUAGGGGACGAGCGUUGUCCGGAUUCAUUGGGCGUAAAGCGCGCGUAGGCGGCUCGGCAAGUCGGUCGUGAAAUGCCGGGGCUCAACCCCGGGACUGCGUCCGAUACUCCCGAGCUGGAGGCAGGUAGGGGAGAUCGGAAUUCCUGGUGUAGCGGUGAAAUGCGCAGAUAUCAGGAGGAACACUGAUGGCGAAGGCAGGUCUCUGGGCUGUAACUGACGCUGAGGAGCGAAAGCAUGGGGAGCGAACAGG